rnacentral:rRNA from 1 species
CCUACGGGGUGCAGCAGUGGGGAAUAUUGCACAAUGGGGGCAACCCUGAUGCAGCGACGCCGCGUGAGUGAAGAAGUAAUUCGUUAUGUAAAGCUCUAUCAGCAGGGAAGAAAAUGACGGUACCUGAGUAAGAAGCCCCGGCUAACUUCGUGCCAGCAGCCGCGGUAAAACGUCGGGGGCAAGCGUUAUCCGGAUUUACCGGGGGUAAAGGGAGCGUGGACGGGCGUGCAAGGCUGGGGUGAAAGGCGGGGGCUCAACCCCCGGACUGCUGUGGAACCUGGAGGGCUGGAGUGCAGGAGAGGUAAGUGGAAUUCCUGGUGUAGCGGUGAAAUGCGUAGAGAUUAGGAGGAACACCAGUGGCGAAGGCGGCUUACUGGACUGUAACUGACGUUGAGGCUCGAAAGCGUGGGGAGCAAACAGGAUUAGAUACCCCUGUAGUC